rnacentral:rRNA from 1 species
UACGGGGGGGGCAAGCGUUGUUCGGAAUUACUGGGCGUAAAGGGUGCGUAGGCGGCUUUCUAAGUCGGAUGUGAAAACUCUGGGCUCAACCCAGAGCCUGCAUCUGAAACUGGAGAGCUAGGGUUCUGGAGGGGAAAGCGGAAUUCCUGGUGUAGCGGUGAAAUGCGUAGAUAUCAGGAGGAACACCGGUGGCGAAGGCGGCUUUCUGGACAGAUACCGACGCUGAGGCACGAAAGCCAGGGGAGCAAACGGG